rnacentral:rRNA from 1 species
CCUACGGGAGGCAGCAGUGGGGAAUAUUGCACAAUGGGGGAAACCCUGAUGCAGCGACGCCGCGUGAGUGAAGAAGUAUCUCGGUACGUAAAGCCCUAUCAGCAGGGAAGAUAAUGACGGUACCUGACCACGAAGCCCCGGCUCACUACGUGCCAGAAGCCGCGGUAAUACGUAGGGGGCCAGCGUAAUCCGGAUUUACUGGGUGUAAAGGGGGUGUAGACGGCAGCAAAAGUCUGGAGUGAAAUCCCGGGGCUUAACCCCGGAACUGCUGUGGAAACUGUGCGGCUGGAGUGCAGGAGGGGUAAGCGGAAUGCCUGGUGUAGCGGUGAAAUGCGUAGAUAUUAGGAGGAACACCGGUGGCGAAGGCGGCUUACUGGACUGUAACUGACGUUGAGGCUCGAAAGCGUGGGGAGCAAACAGGAUUAGAUACCCGUGUAGUC